CCUACGGGUGGCUGCAGUGAGGAAUAUUGGUCAAUGGACGGAAGUCUGAACCAGCCAUGCCGCGUGCAGGAUGACGGCUCUAUUAGUUGUAAACUGCUUUUGUACGAGAAUAAUAUUUCUUACGUGUAGGGUUUUGAAUGUAUCGUACGAAUAAGGAUCGGCUAACUCCGUGCCAGCAGCCGCGGUAAUACGGAGGAUUCAAGCGUUAUCCGGAUUUAUUUGGUUUAAAGGGUGCGUACGCGGUCGGUUAAGUUAGGGGUGAAAUCCUGAGGCUCAACUUUGGAAGUGCAUCUGAUACUGUUCGGCUAGAGAGGAGUUGCGGUAGGCGGAAUGCAUGGUGUAGCGGUGAAAUGCUUAGAGAUCAUACAGAACACCGAUUGCGAAGGCAGCUUACCAAGCUACUUCUGACGUUGAGGCACGAAAGCGUGGGGAGCAAACAGGAUUAGAUACCCCUGUAGUC
rnacentral:rRNA from 1 species